UGGUCUGUACUAGCACGGAUGGUGAUCCUGGUGGUGUUAGUGUAAAAGUGGAAGAUGUUGGAUUGAGUUUGGCUGUUGACCAGACAAAUGGUGAAGUUAGCAGUGGUUCUGUUAAGUUCGAGACUCAAUCUCAUCUUAGUGGUGGAAUCCUGGGUAAUGAUAUGUCAGAUGAGAAACGAGUUGGCGUGGAUAAGACUCCAAUGGAAAAGAUGGGCGUUCUAGA
rnacentral:misc_RNA from 1 species